UCUGUUUUAUUCUCUGUGUACACUUAUCCC
rnacentral:piRNA from 1 species